UACGUAGGGUGCGAGCAUUGUCCGGAAUUAUUGGGCGUAAAGAGCUCGUAGGCGGCCUGUCGCGUCGGAUGUGAAAGCCCGGGGCUUAACCCCGGGUCUGCAUUCGAUACGGGCAGGCUGGAGUUCGGUAGGGGAGAUCGGAAUUCCUGGUGUAGCGGUGAAAUGCGCAGAUAUCAGGAGGAACACCGGUGGCGAAGGCGGGACUCUGGGCCGAUACUGACGCUGAGGAGCGAAAGCGUGGGGAGCAAACAGG
rnacentral:rRNA from 1 species